AGUGACAGGGCAAAUCCCCUGCUGCCACGGCUGGCCUUUUCUCACCGGGUCCUGACCCUCAGGUCCUGGAUCAAUACCUGUUGGGUAACCACAGGGAGAGCGGGCUGUGGGGACCUGCAGGGGAGGUGGGCCGGGUUGUUUUCUUCUGCAAGGAUGGCCUUUGGUCGUCCCCAGCCCGCUGUCUGUCACCCGUGGGCCCUGGAGCUUCGCCGUGAAGUAUAUCUGACCACUGUCUCCCAGCAGGUCCCGGACCUUAGACAAGCAAUUCCAUCCUUCGGGGUAGGGACGUCUCAAAAAAGACCCCCCUUCCUCCAGGCUCCCACGGCUCUACCCUAAAGAAGCUGUGAGGGCCGGAGUUCGAAAUCAGCACUUGGGAGAGCCCUGCCUGCAGGCCUAGAGCCCCGGAUAUUACCCCAGAUGCUUAGAGGAAACCGAGUCCGAUCCUUAAAUCAGGCGUGGAGCCUGGAGCAGGGAUCGCAGCCUACAUGGAGAUAGACUUCUCCAGAGACAACCUACAAACGUGAGCAAGGGCUCGGUUCAACCCUCUGUACACUGGGACAAGAGUGUCUGCCUAGAAGAUUGCCACACAGCCAGCUGGGAGAGAGGGAGCAUCUGGAAUCUGGUCUAGGGGUUGGGAGGUUCUGAACCACUGAGCCAGGGUACAGAGGAUGGUGCAAGAGUCGAACAGAGGAGAACCUCGCUCAACCUCCCACUCUCGGACAGCUUUAGGGACCUGUUUGUGCCGUGUGCAGCCCCCCAGGAUUCCUGUCCGACCUCAGAGGAAAGAAGAGGGUACAACAUGAUGUAGGGGGCCAGGAUCUGUCUUCUCUUCUUGAGCAUGGCUGACUUGGUGUCUCCUUUGAAGUAGGGGGGGGGCACUAAAGAUUUCUAAGGUGUGACCUCAUUUACCUGUUCAACAACUCUCCUAGUUGGUAGAGCAGGCAACAGG